AGGGAAAGUGAAAUGCUGUUAACUUUCUUUUUUUCUUCUGCAAAGCUGAUGAGCUGAAGAAAAUAGAAAUGAAAAGUUUAAUGUAAUUUUUUUUCCCAAGGAUAUAGGUUGAAAAUCAGAAUCAAAACACUUUUACACGGUAAUAGAAAUCCCACAUUUUAAUACAUUGCCAUGCACAUAAGGAAUCAAGUAAUGCUGAAUACAAAAUAGUCAAAUAUACAAAAAUGAUAAAGCAGAUUUUUAAGCCUGAUAGAGAUCAUGCUCACAGAUACAAGGGGGCAAAAAUCUGUAGUUUCAUUUCUAUCAAUUUAAAAAGAAUCAUGCCCCCUCCACCCCCGAAACUCUUUCUGAGGACAACCCAGAACACAAGGAAACAUUAUAAGAAAAAUGUAAAUCUGGGUGCCGGAAGGGUUGGCUGUACAUGACGGGUGCAAAUACGUGGCCUGAUGCUGUCCAUUACUUCCCCCUCUGCCACCUGCUUCCUCAGUCACGGGAGCUGUGCACGACCGUCUCCCCCACAUUGCUCCAGAGGGGUGAAUGCUGUCUGAAUUCAGUUUUCACUGUGGAAAAGGUGGGGUUGGGAUAGUGUUUGGGAGGAGGAGACAUAAGGGCAGGGAGAGUCUACCUUGUAAACCAUAGUGCCCCAGCUCAAUGCUUGGCGCAUAGUAGAUGCUCAAUAAACACUUGAUUUCUAAAGAAAGGAAGAAACAAAAGACUGGCGUGAACUCUGCUGUUGGAAUUGAACCUCAGGAGUUGGGUGGUGGAGACUGAGGUGUCCAGGGGCAUUGGCAGCUAGGCUUUGGCCUCUUAAUUUUGGAUCUGUAAAGAAUUACAGUGUUGAUCCUGAUGUUGACCCACCAAAGGGCCAGAUCUCGGUGGUGACUGAAGCUCCUGUGAGUUCCCACUUGGAAGCCCCCUUUGGCACCACAGCCUGCAGGCUCGCGGUGAGUCAUCUGGCCCGGUGACUCACCUGGAUCACCUUUGGAUCUCCCUCCUUCCCUGUCAAGCUUCCAAAUCGCAGGCAGGGAUGUUUUCUAAUGGGCUGUGCAUUUCCUGAUACCCCCAGGGGUGGAAAGAUGUGGGGAGAACAGACAAUGAGUGUGUGUCUGGUGACCCUCUGAAAUGCCAAGCUUGCUUGUGCUGGCUGGGUCCCAGGGUUGUUACAUGUAUUUAAAGAAAAGUCUCCUAUCCCUGCGAUCCACAGACUGGGAUUACAGGCACACAGAACAUACUUGGCUGAGUUUCUGAUUCAGUCAACUUUACAUUUUCAGGGGGAAAAAGUGCCUAAAGCAUGAUAUAGGGUCAGUCAACAUGAACAUUCCUCUAACUCCUAAGACAAGCAAUAACUGGGCUGACUGGCACCCCAGGACUGUGCUUUGUUGUAAAACAUAGUACAAAUCGUGGCCUGAUGC
rnacentral:lncRNA from 1 species